rnacentral:rRNA from 1 species
GACGAACGCUGGCGGCGUGCUUAACACAUGCAAGUCGAACGGAAAGGCCCUGCUUUUGUGGGGUGCUCGAGUGGCGAACGGGUGAGUAACACGUGAGUAACCUGCCCUUGACUUUGGGAUAACUUCAGGAAACUGGGGCUAAUACCGGAUAGGGGCUCCUGCUGCCUGGUGGGGGUUGGAAAGUUUCGGCGGUUGGGGAUGGACUCGCGGCUUAUCAGCUUGUUGGUGGGGUAGUGGCUUACCAAGGCUUUGACGGGUAGCCGGCCUGAGAGGGUGACCGGCCACAUUGGGACUGAGAUACGGCCCAGACUCCUACGGGAGGCAGCAGUGGGGAAUAUUGCACAAUGGGCGGAAGCCUGAUGCAGCAACGCCGCGUGCGGGAUGACGGCCUUCGGGUUGUAAACCGCUUUCGCCUGUGACGAAGCGUGAGUGACGGUAAUGGGUAAAGAAGCACCGGCUAACUACGUG